UACGUAGGAGGCGAGCGUUGUCCGGAAUUACUGGGCGUAAAGAGCGCGUAGGCGGCACGGUACGACCGAUGUCAAAGAUCCCGGCUCAACUGGGAAGCGGCAUGGGUAACGGCCGAGCUAUGAGUGCAGGAGAGGGAAGUGGAACUCCGGGAGUAGCGGUGAAAUGCGUAGAGACCCGGAGGAACACCAGUGGCGAAGGCGGCUUCCUGGUCUGCGACUGACGCUGUGGCGCGAAAGCUAGGGGAGCGAAUGGG
rnacentral:rRNA from 1 species